AGGUAAUGUCUCCUGCACCUAUAUCACUGGAGGCACUCGAUCAUGCUGUGGGCCGCGAACGGCCUUAGACGUAGAGCGUCGGUGGUGUGGGGUGAGGAGGGGUUAGAUGCCCU
rfam:Paenibacillus sp. Leaf72 contig_11, whole genome shotgun sequence.